rnacentral:lncRNA from 1 species
UGACAAUCCUCGAGUAUCCCCGAGCCUUCAAUAGCUACGAUAACUGUAAAACAGAUAGUAAACACACAGAGUAAGCUACAAAGAGCUUAGUAAGCCAAAUACAAUUGGUCUAACUACUAAAGCAUAUAAGUUCAAUUCAACCAUAAAUAUUCAUAACAAUUUCAUAGAAUAAUUCAUAAACUUAACCAUGCUUCUUUGUUUGCAUAUAUGUCAUGCUUCAAUUCCAUACAUAUUUUACAGAGAUAGUGUAACACCC